CCCCCCGUCGACCGUACUGUUCGAACCGUCGAGACAAGAGGGCUCGAAAGGGAUGUUUAAAAAUCUGGAUUCAAGAGUUUAAACAUUUCCAACUUGACUGUUAUUUCUUCGCCUUGGCGGCCUGAGCCGAAUUUCGUGGUUUUUAUUGGGACAAAAAUCCAAAAUCGGUCUUUAUUGAUUCUUUAAAGCCUUUGCUUUCAAGAUCAAGAUGAACGGGUCAUAGAAAAAGAAACGGUACAGCAAAGUGUUUUAUGCACCAUGUGAAGUGGAUGAGCUCCAUCAAUACAAAUACACCGUCCACACACACGUUUACUUUAAAGGCUCAUUUCUAUAUUCUAGAUACCUUCACUGUAAACAUAGACAGGUGACAUCAGGAUUUCUCCAUGUUCCGUGUUCCAUGUUCCGUGUUCCAUGUUCCAUGCUCCAUGUUCCAUGCUCCAUGUUCUGUGUUCUAUGCUCCAUGUUCCGUGUUCUAUGCUCCAUUCACCACAGCAUUAGAAACACAGUCUGAGGCACAUUUAGUCAGUUAGUUUCAAACUUCACAUCUACACACACUGAAGUUUUCCGGACAGAAACCUGCAGAAAGCGAUCGUGACGCCUCAGGAGUCUGAAGAGGAGAUGAAGACGCGUUCUGCUGCACUCAACAGAGCUCGAGACCAACAGGACGCCAUCAGGACGCCAUCAGGAUGCCAUCAGGACGCCAUGAGGACGUCACGCCAUAAGGACGCCAUCAGGACGCCAUAAGGACGCCAUCAGGAUGCCAUCAGGACGCCAUGAGGACGUCACGCCAUAAGGACGCCAUCAGGACGCCAUAAGGACGCCAUCAGGACGUGCUGAGAGUCGCCCCCUCAGGAGCAGCUCCAGAUCUACGCAUGACUCAGAUAAGCGGACAACACACACACACACGUACUCAGAGAAAAACUAAUAUUGAGAUGUACACGUAGAUCAUUAAUAUUUAGAUGUAUACAUAGAUCAUUAAUAUUGAGAUGUACACAUAGACACAUUAAUAUUGAGAUGUACACAUAGAUCAUUAAUAUUGAGAUGUACACAUAGAUCAUUAAUAUUGAGAUGUACACAUAUACACAUUAAUAUUGAGAUGUACACAUAGAUCAUUAAUAUUGAGAUGUACACAUAGAUCAUUAAUAUUGAGAUGUACACAUAUACACAUUAAUUUUGAGAUGUACACAUAGAUCAUUAAUAUUGAGAUGUUUACAUAGACACAUUAAUAUUUAGAUGUACACAUAGACACACUACCUGUAAGAGCCGAUUUAUGAUGUAUGGCAGCAUCUGAUUGAUGGGCGGGUCAGCCUAUAUAGGGUAGGAACCUUUGGGGGCUCGGCAGGUGUUUCUAGCCGGUAUAAGAAAAACAGUUUUGACUUUGAACGUAGAAACUAAGCAAACGCUUUAAGCCACUGAGGCAUUUUUUUCCGGAAACCCUCAUUGACGCGCCGCUGUUGUCUCAUGACGGAUGAAUGAGAGUCCUGUAGCCUUUGUGUUGUUGUAAACAAGUCCACUUAUUUGCCAAGUUUAGUCCUGUCACACGUUAACAUACAUCAUGGAUACAUGGGAGUGUGGAGGGGGAGAGAGAGGAGUGAUUAAAUAGAUAAAUGAGAUGUGUUGAGAAAUGCACUUUAAGAAAUAAGUUUUGGAAGUAUGUUCUAAGGAGGGCAGACAGACCUAAUAAUUGAGUCUGAGAGGUUAACAUAAACUCACAGACGCAUUGACUCCGGAAGGUUAGUAUAAACUUUCGGCAUAAAUUAAUUCUGCGAGGCUAACAUAAGCUCGUGGAAACAAACAUUUUCUCUGAAAGGUUAGUAUAAACUUUCAGAACAUAGCUGUCUGCCCGGGUAAAAUACAUACGAACUGGUUGACUGUUGUUAAAUGGAAGGCGAAUUUGAUGAAGAAGAGGAGGACGGCGGCUGGGAGCCGGCCUUAGAUCAUAAAUAUUUAGACACACCUUAACAUUUAGAUACCCAAAGAUCAUAACAAUUUAUAUGUACACAUAGAUUAUUAAUAUUGAGAUGUACACAUAGAUCAUUAAUAUUGAGAUACACACAUAGACACAUUAACAUUUAGAUACACAAAGAUCAUUAAUAUUUAUAUGUACACAUAGAUUAUUAAUAUUGAGAUGUACACAUAGAUCAUUAAUAUUUAGAUGUACACAUAGAUCAUUAAUAUUGAGAUGUACACAUAGACACAUUAAUAUUGAGAUGUACACAUAGAUCAUUAAUAUUGAGAUGUACACAUAGACACAUUAAUAUUGAGAUGUACACAUAGAUCAUUAAUAUUGAGAUGUACACAUAUACACAUUCAUAUUUAGAUGUACACAUAGAUCAUUAAUAUUGAGAUGUACACAUAUACACAUUAAUAUUGAGAUGUAUACAUAUACACAUUAAUAUUGAGAUGUACACAUAGACACAUUAAUAUUGAGAUGUACACAUAUACACAUUAAUAUUGAGAUGUACACAUAGAUCAUUAAUAUUGAGAUGUACACAUAUACACAUUAAUAUUGAGAUGUACACAUAGAUCAUUAAUAUUGAGAUGUACACAUAGACACAUUAAUAUUUAGAUGUACACAUAUACACAUUAAUAUUGAGA
ensembl:lncRNA